rnacentral:lncRNA from 1 species
AUUCCUCCAACCCAACAUCGCUUAAUGAAUUGAGUAUUCUUAGUCUGUUCUGCUGCCGUGUGCGUUGCGUUAUCCUAAGGUGCUAGAAAUGCAGUAAAGCUAAAUUCUCAAAGGAUUCAACUGGCGCCAGAAAAAGACAACUGCAUUUCACAUCCACUCACAUUCUGUAAUAUAUGUAUCUGCUUCGGAUGUCUCUCAGUUGUUUUUCUUUGAUACAUUUACUCAGUGUUCCUCGUGGGGCAAGAUAUGC